CAGCGACCAGCUCUAUACAUGAUGGAGAAGAGAAUCCUGAAGGAGCUGCUGCACACUACCAGUACAGCUUGGCAAGACAAGGACAAAGCUGAAGACACGAUCCAAGCUGAAGUCGUGAAUUAUCAUGUAUAUUUGAAGUGAAGGGGAAACUGAGAGGUAAAUUGUCCAGGCUGCUGCUUUAGGGUGAGUUAAUAAUGUGUGUGUGUGUGUGUGUGUUGCAAUGACGUGUGAUUAUAAGCAGUGUACACUGCAACACCUAGGCUGUAAGAAAGCUGUGAAUAAUGUGGAGAGGCCUAGAUGUCCUUGCACUGUAACAGUUAACCCUUUGGAAGCUGUAUUUACCUUUCUCUGAUAUAUCAUCGUGGCUCAAAACUUGUCCAUAGGUCUGCAGUUUCUUCACAAUUUUCUGAUAAAUCUUCACAUCCUGCCUUCCUCCCCUGAUACUCCCACAAAAAUAUAUAUUCAUCCUGUGGAGUCUUAACAAAAACGGAAGAAAUGAAAA